rnacentral:rRNA from 1 species
ACGGGAGGCAGCAGUGGGGAAUCUUGCGCAAUGGGCGAAAGCCUGACGCAGCAACGCCGCGUGCGGGAAGAAGGCCUUCGGGUUGUAAACCGCUUUCAGCAGGGAAGACACUGACGGUACCUGCAGAAGAAGCUCCGGCUAACUACGUGCCAGCAGCCGCGGUAAUACGUAGGGAGCGAGCGUUAUCCGGAUUCAUUGGGCGUAAAGCGCGCGUAGGCGGCUUGCCAAGCGGGAUGUCAAAGCCCGGGGCUCAACCCCGGCCCGCAUCCCGAACUGGCAGGCUUGAGUCUGGUAGGGGAAGGCGGAAUUCCCAGUGUAGCGGUGAAAUGCGCAGAUAUUGGGAAGAACACCGGUGGCGAAGGCGGCCUUCUGGGCCACGACUGACGCUGAGACGCGAAAGCUAGGGGAGCGAACAGGAUUAGAUACCCUGGUA